UACAGAGGGGGCAAGCGUUGUUCGGAAUUACUGGGCGUAAAGGGCGCGUAGGCGGCCUGCUAAGUCGAACGUGAAAUCCCUGGGCUCAACCCAGGAACUGCGUCCGAUACUGGUUGGCUUGAAUCCGGGAGAGGGACGUGGAAUUCCAGGUGUAGCGGUGAAAUGCGUAGAUAUCUGGAGGAACACCGAUGGCGAAGGCAGCCCCCUGGGUCAAGACUGACGCUCAUGCACGAAAGCGUGGGGAGCAAACAGG
rnacentral:rRNA from 1 species